ACUAACAGAGCUGUAUUUAGUGUGAUAGCUGUUAACUAUUGAGAAAUUGUGUGUAAACAAUUGUUGGUGU
rnacentral:tRNA from 1 species